CUACGGGAGGCAGCAGUCUAGAGGCUUCGUCAAUGGGGGAAACCCUGAACGAGCGACGCCGCGUGCGGGAUUGAAGGCCUUCGGGUCGUAAACCGCUGUCAGGAGGGACGAAUGCCCGGAUGGUGAAUCCGGGAGUGACGGUACCUCCAGAGGAAGCCCCGGCUAACUCCGUGCCAGCAGCCGCGGUAAGACGGAGGGGGCAAGCGUUGUUCGGAUUUACUGGGCGUAAAGGGUGCGUAGGCGGUCGCGCAAGUCUGAUGUGAAAUCUUCGCCGCUCAACGGGAAGAGGUCAUUGGAAACUGCGUGACUUGAGUAUGGUAGAGGCAGACGGAAUUCCUGGUGUAGCGGUGGAAUGUGUAGAUAUCAGGAAGAACACCGGUGGCGAAGGCGGUCUGCUGGGCCAUCACUGACGCUGAGGCACGAAAGCGUGGGGAGCAAACGGGAUUAGAAACCCUAGUAGUCC
rnacentral:rRNA from 1 species